GACCAAGGAGUCUAGCAUGUGCGCGAGUCAUUGGGACUUGAUAAACCUAAAGGCGUAAUGAAAGUAAAGGUUUGCCUUGCGCAAACUUAGGGAAGAUGAUUUGCACUUCGGUGUGAGUCCGCAUUCCCGGGGCGUCUCGUGCUCAUUGCGAGUUGAGGCGCACUCAGAGCGUACACGCUGGGACCCGAAAGAUGGUGAACUAUGCCUGGUCAGGACGAAGUCAGGGGAAACCCUGAUGGAGGUCCGUAGCGAUUCUGACGUGCAAAUCGAUCGUCGGAACUGGGUAUAGGGGCGAAAGACUAAUCGAACCAUCUAGUAGCUGGUUCCCUCCGAAGUUUCCCUCAGGAUAGCUGGCACUCGUUUUAGCGAGUCUCAUCCGGUAAAGCGAAUGAUUAGAGGCAUUGGGGUCGAAACGGCCUCAACCUAUUCUCAAACUUUAAAUGGGUGAGAUCUCCGGCUUGCUUAAAGCAUGAAGCCGCGAGAUCGGAUCAGAGUGCCAAGUGGGCCACUUUUGGUAAGCAGAACUGGCGCUGUGGGAUGAACCAAACGCCGAGUUAAAGCGCCUAAAUCGACGCUUAUGGGAUACCAUGAAAGGCGUUGGUAACUUAAGACAGCAGGACGGUGGCCAUGGAAGUCG
rnacentral:rRNA from 1 species